GAUGAACGCUAGCUACAGGCUUAACACAUGCAAGUCGAGGGACCGGCGCACGGGAGAGUAACACGAAUACAACCUGCCCUUUACUCAGGGAUAGCCUUACGAAAGAAAGAUUAAUACACGAUACAAAGGAUGGGGAUGCGGUCCAUUAGGUUGUGGGUGAGGUAACGGCCCACCAAGCCUUCGAUGGAUAGGGGUUCUGAGAGGAAGGUCCCCCACAUUGGAACUGAGACACGGUCCAAACUCGUACGGGAGGCAGCAGUGAGGAAUAUUGGUCAAUGGGCGUUAGCCUGAACCAGCCAAGUAGCGUGAAGGAGGAAGGCUUAUGGGUCGUAAACUUCUUUUAUAUAAGAAUAUGUAUUAUAUGAAUAAGGAUCGGCUAACUCCGUGCCAGCAGCCGCGGUAAGAC
rnacentral:rRNA from 1 species